AUCCAGCUGACGAGUCCCAAAUAGGAAAAAACGUGCGACCUGGAU
rfam:Schistosoma rodhaini strain Burundi genome assembly, scaffold: SROB_scaffold0005041